AUUCCCCGGCUGCUGGUGGAGAAUCGGUGGAUGUUCACUCAUUGGACGGUUUUCUACACCAAACCCUCAGCUGCCGGAUUUGGUUGAAUUGCUUAAGAAGAAGAAACUCCAGCCAGUCUUGCAGAACUGAAGACAGACACGAAAAACCUGCAUCUUCUCUUCAAGAAAGCUGCUCUCUGUUGCUGUACUAUUUACUAUCUUGAUGACAAUAAUCAAUCAUUACAUGAACAAUACUCCUCCUUUACUCCUGUGCUCAAAGAAAUGACAGCAAGCCAUGAAAUAUAACAUUUAUUAAAAUGUUCAACUGGUUUUCAUAUAAAAGCUUACAAGCAUUUUCUGCUACUUUACUGAUUUUUUAUCAUAAUAUAAAGUUGGUAGCAAACAAAAUAAAAAUGUUGGCAUAAAUACAAAA